AACUCUGAGGACUGCAGGGUGGAGGGGGUGAGGAAGCCAUAAGAUGGAGGGAUCCUAAGCCCCUGAGUCACAAGUUGGAGAAGAGCUGUGCAGAAGAGCCUCAUGAACAGGAACAGCCGUGCUGGACUGUGCAUCUACAAAACACAUGGAACAUUGUAAGAGCUCAACAAAUUGGUAGUAGGAGACAAGAGAGUGUGUAUCUGAAAGAGAAGAAACAAGGUGUCCCUUCUGUGAGGGCACUCACUCUCCAAAGAAAAACACUGUAUUACAAGGUGCCCUCUGGAUUGGAGAGAAGAAAC